CAGUAGCCGCGGUAAUACGGAGGGUGCAAGCGUUACUCGGAAUCACUGGGCGUAAAGGACGCGUAGGCGGAUUAUCAAGUCUCUUGUGAAAUCUAACGGCUUAACCGUUAAACUGCUUGGGAAACUGAUAAUCUAGAGUAAGGGAGAGGCAGAUGGAAUUCUUGGUGUAGGGGUAAAAUCCGUAGAUAUCAAGAAGAAUACCUAUUGCGAAGGCGAUCUGCUGGAACUUAACUGACGCUAAUGCGUGAAAGCGUGGGGAGCAAACAGGAUUAGAUACCCGAGUAGUCCAUGUCUCUUAUAC
rnacentral:rRNA from 1 species